rnacentral:lncRNA from 10 species
GGAACCUCCUUUUGGCGAGUUCAGGCCCCGCAGCUGCGGAGGUGAAAGUUCAAAACUGUCUUACAGCUACUGCCUGGGGUCUAGGAAUCCAGAACAUUCCACACAUUGCCUAAGUCAACAACCUGUUGCACACACACACCUGCAACUGUUUUGCAAAAGUAUUUACGUAAUUUCGAAGCAGCUCUUCACAAAAUAUUCAUCAGUUACAGAAGGAAGUCACUUCACAGUGGAAAAAUCUGGCAGGUGCCACCUUAAUCAAGUAACCAAAAUGAACAUCAUCAGUAAUAGGACAAAUUGCAAUCGUGUGCCUCCUGAUAGUCUAGCAAGAAGAACACAGCAUCACUUCUAUGAUGCUCCUGCCAAUAAUAUAUAAUUGGAAUCUAAUCCUAAAGCAACAAAUUCAAAUUAAGGAAAAUUCUACAAAAUAAUUGGCCUGUAAUAGAAGUGUUAAAGGUCAUGAAAGUUAAGGAAAGACUGAAGAACUGUUCCAGACUGAAGAUGAAAGAGAUGUGAGAAAUAAGUGCAGUGGUGAUUCUGAACUGGAUCCUGACUUGGCAAAACUUGAAUAGGUCUGUUGGUUGGAUGGUAGAAAUAUAGUAAUGUUGAUUUCCUGAUUUUUGCUAGCUAUAUUACAAUUUUAUUGGAUUCAGUCCUUGUUUACAGAAGACACACAGUAUGUAGGGGUUAUAAGAAGUCAGCUCAGGAACUUUCAAAUCAUUUAGCAAAACAAA